GAUGAACGCUGGCGGCGUGCUUAAGACAUGCAAGUCGAACGGAGUGUGUAGCAAUACUCACUGGGCGGCGAAUGGGUGAGUAACACGUAGGUGACCUGCCCUGAAGUGCGGAAUAACAGUCCGAAAGGAUUGCUAAUACCGCAUGUGGUCCCGGGCGUUAGAGAACCGGGUCUAAAGCAGUAAUGCGCUUCAGGAGGGGCCUGCGGUCCAUCAGCUAGUUGGAGGGCAAUGGCCUACCAAGGCAACGACGGAUAGGGGACCUGAGAGGGUGGCCCCCACAUUGGCACUGACACACGGGCCAACUCCUACGGGAGGCAGCAGUCGGGAAUAUUGGUCAAU
rnacentral:rRNA from 1 species